UACGUAGGGUGCAAGCGUUAUCCGGAUUCACUGGGUUUAAAGGGUGCGUAGGCGGGUAAGUAAGUCCGUGGUGAAAUCUCUGAGCUUAACUCAGAAACUGCCGUGGAUACUAUUUGCCUUGAAUAUUGUGGAGGUGAGCGGAAUAUGUCAUGUAGCGGUGAAAUGCUUAGAUAUGACAUAGAACACCAAUUGCGAAGGCAGCUCACUACACAAUCAUUGACGCUGAGGCACGAAAGCGUGGGUAGCAAACAGG
rnacentral:rRNA from 1 species